GUUGGGUAGGGGAGCGUUCUGUAAGCCUGUGAAGGUGGCCUGUGAGGGUUGCUGGAGGUAUCAGAAGUGCGAAUGCUGACAUAAGUAACGAUAAAGCGGGUGAAAAGCCCGCUCGCCGGAAGACCAAGGGUUCCUGUCCAACGUUAAUCGGGGCAGGGUGAGUCGACCCCUAAGGCGAGGCCGAAAGGCGUAGUCGAUGGGAAACAGGUUAAUAUUCCUGUACUUGGUGUUACUGCGAAGGGGGGACGGAGAAGGCUAUGUUGGCCGGGCGACGGUUGUCCCGGUUUAAGCGUGUAGGUGUGUGUUCCAGGUAAAUCCGGUUCACUUUAACACUGAGGCGUGAUGACGAGGCACUACGGUGCUGAAGCAACAAAUGCCCUGCUUCCAGGAAAAGCCUCUAAGCAUCAGGUAACAUCAAAUCGUACCCCAAACCGACACAGGUGGUCAGGUAGAGAAUACCAAGGCGCUUGAGAGAACUCGGGUGAAGGAACUAGGCAAAAUGGUGCCGUAACUUCGGGAGAAGGCACGCUGACACGUAGGUGAAGUGAUUUACUCAUGGAGCUGAAGUCAGUCGAAGAUACCAGCUGGCUGCAACUGUUUAUUAAAAACACAGCACUGUGCAAACACGAAAGUGGACGUAUACGGUGUGACGCCUGCCCGGUGCCGGAAGGUUAAUUGAUGGGGUCAGCGCAAGCGAAGCUCCUGAUCGAAGCCCCGGUAAACGGCGGCCGUAACUAUAACGGUCCUAAGGUAGCGAAAUUCCUUGUCGGGUAAGUUCCGACCUGCACGAAUGGCGUAAUGAUGGCCAGGCUGUCUCCACCCGAGACUCAGUGAAAUUGAACUCGCUGUGAAGAUGCAGUGUACCCGCGGCAAGACGGAAAGACCCCGUGAACCUUUACUAUAGCUUGACACUGAACAUUGAGCCUUGAUGUGUAGGAUAGGUGGGAGGCUUUGAAGCGUGGACGCCAGUCUGCGUGGAGCCGACCUUGAAAUACCACCCUUUAAUGUUUGAUGUUCUAACGUGGACCCGUAAUCCGGGUUGCGGACAGUGUCUGGUGGGUAGUUUGACUGGGGCGGUCUCCUCCUAAAGAGUAACGGAGGAGCACGAAGGUUGGCUAAUCCUGGUCGGACAUCAGGAGGUUAGUGCAAUGGCAUAAGCCAGCUUGACUGCGAGCGUGACGGCGCGAGCAGGUGCGAAAGCAGGUCAUAGUGAUCCGGUGGUUCUGAAUGGAAGGGCCAUCGCUCAACGGAUAAAAGGUACUCCGGGGAUAACAGGCUGAUACCGCCCAAGAGUUCAUAUCGACGGCGGUGUUUGGCACCUCGAUGUCGGCUCAUCACAUCCUGGGGCUGAAGUAGGUCCCAAGGGUAUGGCUGUUCGCCAUUUAAAGUGGUACGCGAGCUGGGUUUAGAACGUCGUGAGACAGUUCGGUCCCUAUCUGCCGUGGGCGCUGGAGAACUGAGGGGGGCUGCUCCUAGUACGAGAGGACCGGAGUGGACGCAUCACUGGUGUUCGGGUUGUCAUGCCAAUGGCACUGCCCGGUAGCUAAAUGCGGAAGAGAUAAGUGCUGAAAGCAUCUAAGCACGAAACUUGCCCCGAGAUGAGUUCUCCCUGAGACUUAGAGUCUCCUGAAGGAACGUUGAAGACGACGACGUUGAUAGGCCGGGUGUGUAAGCGCAGCGAUGCGUUGAGCUAACCGGUACUAAUGAACCGUGAGGCUUAACCUU
rnacentral:rRNA from 1 species